GACGGAGGAUGCAAGCGUUAUCCGGAAUUAUUGGGCGUAAAGCGUCCGCAGGUGGCAUUUCAAGUCUGCUGUCAAAGACCGGGGCUUAACCCCAGAAAGGCAGUGGAAACUGAAAAGCUAGAGAUAGGUAGGGGCAGAGGGAAUUCCCAGUGUAGCGGUGAAAUUCGUAGAGAUUGGGAAGAACACCGGUGGCGAAAGCGCUCUGCCGGGCCUUAUCUGACACUCAGGGACGAAAGCUAGGGGAGCGAAUGGG
rnacentral:rRNA from 1 species